rnacentral:misc_RNA from 1 species
UUUCACAUCUUCAGCUUCUAGCCCAAAUGCCUCUGUGGUCUCCAGAGUUACUAGUGUUGAUGAGGAUGGCGGUAAACGUUCUAUAAAGGGUCUUCUUAGGCACCAUGACAAGAGCUCAUCUCCACUGAAAUUCCCAGGACCUAACAUGCAGCAACUCUUGACUCCAUCUCUCAGUACUUGGCUACUUUGAAGAUGACCCCUUACCACAAAAAGCAUUCUUUGGACAGGGUCACCUUCUCUUGUUAUUGUUUCUCCCUUUGUGAAAAUGAGAGACUUCACACGGUCGCAAAUGUUCUCAAGGACCAGAUCAUCCAUAUGUUGGAAAAGUGGCACCUGCCUCACUAAAUCCAGGCAGAGAUGGUACUUGAUGUCCCUCCGAAGUCCUUCAGGGAGGUUCCUG